GAUCCGUACUGUUCUGGGCUCAUUUCUCCCUCUAGGUGGCGCGGGCUUUCGUGCAGUCCGCCGCCGGUACCGCGCGGGUCUAGGCGGUAACGGCGGCGGCAGCUCGAGGAGAUGAGGGUCGCGGCCUAGGUGGAGGUAGGGCUGUUGGCGCGUUGUCGUCCGCGGCGGUGGCUGCGGAAGAUGUGGGGUUCGCUGCCGCCGCGGGUCUAUUGUGCCGAGCAGAGGAGGGGCCUCCUCGGUGGCACCGGCCCGAAGGCCCUCUUCGUCUCCUGGCUGCGGCCGACCUCGAUGAACAGGUCCCGGUGGCUCGAGGGGGGGUUCGCCGGUGUUGGCCGCUGGAGAGGGAAGGACAGGUCGAAGGAGGUGCCGACGAGAUGAAGUUGUGCUGUACCUGCCUACGGUGUAGGUGGCUCGGUGCCUGCGGUACCUGCCUCCAGGUUGGGAAGUCGUCGUCGUCCGGCGGUAAAAGUAACUAAACUCCUUAAGGACGUUCACUAACUACCACACGUCCGGUACCUCCCGAAGUUGGGUAGUUCCGAAACAUACACUUUAGGGGUCUCAACUUACUAGACUUGGAGUUGAUAACAUGUUUGGAUGUGGGUCUGAAACACGUAAUCUUCUGUGAACGGGGUCUAGGUUAAGCAGCUACCUCAAUCUUGUUAAGGCAUGUUGUCUCAUAAUCCUCACGCUGUCGCGGUAGGACACGGUGUUUGGUACGCUUCUUACUACCCCCACCACAUUAGGAUACGAUCGAUCGCACGAUCUGUCUAAAUUAUUUGAGAAACCUCGAGUAGAAAACGGACUUUUCGAUUUUGAUUGGACGGUGUCGUCACUGAUUACUAAUUAUGUUACCUCAAGUAAACUAGGUGGAAUUUUUUUAUGGAUAACCCUUAUUCUUACUUUUCAUUAGUGGGGACAAAGACGUCACCUUAAGUUCAUAUGGCCGAGCAGAUAAAUAAACUGACAACAAUCUAACAAAGUAGGACCAGACUACACAAUUACCUCAACAAAGUAAGGAGUGUGCUGGGGAAGGUCUACGUAAAAGCCCCAGGAGACUAAAAGUGUUAUUUAUUGUUGAAGACGACUUCUAUUUGUAGUACUGUUUACGGGGGUUUGGUCUUCGCUUUACUGGAUUGUUUAUAUUACGGUAGUCUGCGUUAGGACUUAGAGAGUAGUUACGUCUCUACUCACCUGCAAGGUUUUCGAAACAGAGGCAAUGGACGACCAAGUUCUAGACGUGUUUCAAAGGAGGGAAGGCAGCAGCCGGAGUAGACUUCCAGGAAACUAACCAGAUAAGACGCAGUUUCUGGGACAAGUGGAGACCAUUUAAGGCGACGUCGGAGUUAAUCCACAGCCAACCGGACGUCGAGCACACCAGCCUCCACGAGCACACCCGCCUCCACGAGUACGCCCUGCUUUGAAUCACCAGGAAACUAACCAGAUAAGACGCAGUUUCCGGGACAAGUGGAGACCAUUUAAGGCGACGUCGGAGUUAAUCCACAGCCAACCGGACGUCGAGCACACCAGCCUCCACGAGCACACCCGCCUCCACAAGUACGCCCUGCUUUGAAUCACCAAGGAGGCUAAGACCUUCGUGUGCCGACUUACCUUAGGUUGUCUUGGUUACGAUGUAGUCCCACGUGGCAACUUCGUAAAACUAACCGGGCUCUCUUUACUCCUGUGACGUAUAGUCUGUUGGAAAACGAAUGAUUGGAGCAUUUAUAAACUUCACGUUACCCAUACGUUUCGAAACGGUGAAAGACUUCACGCAACUUUAUCCUCAAGGUCUAGAACUAAAAAGUUCUUUGACUUCUUCUCGCAAACUCCUUUCUCCUCUUCACCCUCCGUGCCCUUCGUUUCUUAACCUCUUCCCUCUCCCUUUUCCUCUUCAACGAGUUCUUCUUAUGAUCUUUGCGGAAUGGUCAUCCGAGAGCAACGUUACAAAAGUACCUAAUAACCUACUCAGAAGGAGAACUAACAAAAAAAUCCAAGUCAUUCUACUACUGUAGGCUAAUUAUAGAACGACAAGUCCUCCAAAACUGAUAUACUUUUUAUAACAAAAGAACGGUCACUUCUAAUAGUACAAACAUGCGGAUGGGAUAUCAUUUAACGGCAUAACUCUAGUUAACAACCUAAUAGUCCCGGUACUUGACGAUUUUCUAUCACUACUAGGGAACUCAGAUAAUAUUCAUGGUAAAAUCAAACUACAGGAAAAAAUAACUAAACAAAUACUAUUAUUAACUCUUUAUUUCUUCGUAACACCG
rnacentral:rRNA from 1 species